rnacentral:misc_RNA from 1 species
GAUGAAGAACGCAGCGAAAUGCGAUAAGUAGUGUGAAUUGCAGAAUUCAGUGAAUCAUCGAAUCUUUGAACGCACAUUGCGCCCUUUGGUAUUCCUUAGGGCAUGCCUGUUCGAGCGUCAUUUAAACCUUCAAGCUAAGCUUGGUGUUGGGUGACUGUCCGCUUCACUGCGGACUCGCCUCAAAAUUAUUGGCGGCCGGUACAUUGGCUUCGAGCGCAGCAGAAACGCGAACUCGGGCCCGUCGUAUUGGCUCCCAGAAGCUAUCUUCACAAUUUUGACCUCGGAUCAGGUAGGGAUACCCGCUGAGCUUAAGCAUAUCAAUAAGCGGAGGA